rnacentral:misc_RNA from 1 species
AACCAUAGAAACCUGCGGAGUACCUGCGGCGGGAUCAUUAUAGUAUAUGGAAUCUCCAUUCUAUAAACCCACUCUGCGUAUCUUGUAACUGUUGCUUCCAUGGGACUUGGUUCCGCCACACCGGCUUCACGGCUGGUGAGCGCCCAUGGAAGGAGAAACAAAACUCUUCUUUGAAAUGUAGUCAGUCUGAACAAGUUUUUAUAAACGUUAAAACUUUUAACAAUGGAUCUCAGAUCGGAA